GGGAAUUGGGGGCAGCUUACACAUGCAAGUCGAGCGGGGAAGUAAGUUCGCUCUGCUUACUUUAUACCUUAGCGGCGGACGGGUGAAGUUAAUGCUUAGGAAUCUGCCUAUUAGUGGGGGACAACAUCUCGAAAGGGAUGCUAAUACCGCAUACGUCCUACGGGAGAAAGCAGGGGACCUUCGGGCCUUGCGCUAAUAGAUGAGCCUAAGUCGGAUUAGCUAGUUGGUGGGGUAAAGGCCUACCAAGGCGACGAUCUGUAGCGGGUCUGAGAGGAUGAUCCGCCACACUGGGACUGAGACACGGCCCAGACUCCUACGGGAGGCAGCAGUGGGGAAUAUUGGACAAUGGGGGGAACCCUGAUCCAGCCAUGCCGCGUGUGUGAAGAAGGCCUUUUGGUUGUAAAGCACUUUAAGCGAGGAGGAGGCUACCGAGAUUAAUACUCUUGGAUAGUGGACGUUACUCGCAGAAUAAGCACCGGCUAACUCUGUGCCAGCAGCCGCGGUAAUACAGAGGGUGCAAGCGUUAAUCGGAUUUACUGGGCGUAAAGCGCGCGUAGGUGGCCAAUUAAGUCAAAUGUGAAAUCCCCGAGCUUAACUUGGGAAUUGCAUUCGAUACUGGUUGGCUAGAGUAUGGGAGAGGAUGGUAGAAUUCCACGUGUAGCGGUGAAAUGCGUAGAGAUCUGGAGGAAUACCGAUGGCGAAGCAGCCAUCUGGCCUAAUACUGACACUGAGUGCGAAAGCAUGGGGAGCAACAGGAUUAGAUACCCUGGUAGUCCAUGCCGUAACGAUGUCUACUAGCCGUUGGGGGCGUUUGAGCUUUAGUGGCGCAGCUACGCGAUAAGUAGACGCUGGGGGAGUACGGUCGCAGACUAAACUCAAUGAAUUGACGGGGCCGCACAAGCGGUGGAGCAUGUGGUUUAUUCGAUGCACGCGAGACUACCUGUCUGACAUAAUAGGACCUUCGAGAUGAUGGUGCUCCGAACUACAUACGUGCUGCAUGCAGUCUUCAGCUCUGUCCUGGAAUGUUGGGUAGUCCGCACGAGCGCAGGUUUCUUAGUGCACGGUUAGCCUGAACUUACGAUCUGCAUUGACACUGGACAGCGCACAGGUCAGUUCUAUGCUCAGACUAGCUCACCAGUGUUCUUACAAUGGUC
rnacentral:rRNA from 1 species